rnacentral:tRNA from 1 species
GCACUAGUAGCUUAAUUUCAGAGCACCGGUCUUGUAAGCCGGACGCAGGGGUUAAAAUCCCCUCUUCUGCU